rnacentral:rRNA from 1 species
AGAGUUUGAUCAUGGCUCAGAAUGAACGUUGGCGGCGUGGAUCAGACAUGCAAGUCGGACGAGCUUCAGUAGCAAUACUGAGGAAAGUGGCGAAAGGGGCAGUAAUGUUUGGGUACCUACCUUGGGGUCUGGGAUAGCCAUUCUAACGGAUGGGUAAAACUGGACGAUUUGGCGCAAGUCAAGAAAGGUAACGCCUCGAGAGGGGCCCAAAUGGUAUUAGCUAGUUGGUGGGGUAAUGGCUCACCAAGGCGAUGAUGCCUAGCGGGUGUGAGAGC